CCGGAAGCGACGGAGGAACCAUAAACUGUCAUGGCUGGAGCUGGAGGUGACAAGCCAUCCGCCGGCCCAAGCCCUUUAUCUCGGGUUUUGAGAAUCAGUCAGCUGGAUGCUUUUGAACUGGAUGGCGCACUGGAACAGCUCGUUUGGUCACAGUUCACCCAAUGUUUCCAGCAUUUCAAGCCCGGGCUCCUAACCCCCGUGGAACCAGAACUGAAGGCCCUGCUGCAGCUUCUCCUCUGGAGGUUCACCGUCUACUCCAACAGCGCCACCGUGGGCCAAUCGCUGCUCAAUAUACGAUACAAGGAUGCUCGUGUGCCGGGUCAUAAAUACAGGCCCAUGAGCCGGCAGAAGAAGCUUUGGUUUGCUUUGCUCACUGUUGGUGAAAAAUGGUUGAAGGAACGUUCCCAUAGCUUGUUUCUUAACCACCCUGCGGAGUCCAGCAUCCACAAAGCGCGCAAAAUGCUGUCUGUUGUAAUGGGGCUCACCAAAGCGGCCAGCUUGGUCAACUUUCUUUUGUUCCUUCAGAGAGGAACCUUUCCUACCCUAACAGAAAGAUUGCUGGGAGUGCAGCCUGUAUUCAUCCGACCCCAAGGACCAAGGGACGUCAAUUUCCAAUUUCUGAACCGGGAGAUUUUGUGGCACGGGUUUGCAGAGUUCCUCAUUUUCCUGCUGCCUUUUGUCAACGUGUGGAAGUUGAAGGUCUACAUGUCCACCAUGUUCUCGCCUCUGAAUGAGUCGAAGGGACGUACAGAGAUCAACUACUGCACGGAGUGUGCCAUCUGCAGGGAGUGGCCCACAAUGCCUCACUCCAUCGGCUGCAACCACGUGUUCUGCUACUAUUGCCUUAAGAGCCACACCAUCGCCGACAUCUCCUUCACCUGCCCUAAAUGUGGUGCGGAUGCGGCAACGAUGGAGCCGGUCGGGCUUCAGAUAGAGAUGACUGAGUUGCAUCAGAGUUGAGUUCCCAAAGGAUCGCCUUGGAUUGACUUGAUCUCGAGAUCUUCCGCCGUAUGUGUGUUUCAAGUCGAACAUUUGAGUCGAUCACAGAGAUUGCUUGAUGAAAGCGUACAUCCCGUGCCUUUUUUCCAAACGAGAGUAUUUGUUGCCAUGAAAUAUGCAGGGUUUUGUACAAAGACUGACUGGAGACAAACUUAAUGAUGUAAAAUUCUCAAACAACAUCAUUUGUGUCGCUAAUUUAUUCAUCCUCAUUAAAGUUGGAUGAAAACCGCCUAUCAGAGGUCCACUUUUCUGCGUUCUCAGAUGGAACGCCGAGCAAAUGAAUAAACAUCAAAACAACCCUUUGCUCAACUGCCUGCACGAUCCAAUUCCCCUCAUCCCCUAUGAAGUGAAAAAUUUGCACAAGAUCAAGGAGAGGCCGUGAUAGCACCAGGGGGGUAGUUGGGUUGGAUGCAGAUUGACAGACGUUCCAUUAUAAUCUCCUUGGCCUUCUUAAUACGCCAGUAAACUGUAACAAACCCAAGUAGGACCAAUGCACAUUUCAGGCAUAUUAUGCUCUAAGCUUCAUAAUGACGGCAAAGAUGGGUAUUUAUUCUAAUGUUAACCCUCUCCAGUGAGCCAUGCCUCGGGCCAAACACAUCCAAAUGUGCUCAGGCCUGCUGGAAUCUCUCACUUCAUUUUCUUCUUUUUGACCACAUUGACUUAAUUGCCCAUUGUGAAGGCAAUCAGUCACUUCUUGGGGUCCUGUGGUUUUCUAUAUUUUGUAAUCGCUUUAAUAAUGUGUGCUGUCCAAAAGACAAAUUUUUGGAACGUGGCACGCUACUCUGCCGUCGUGUGCGUUCAUUGAUGUUAUGCGUACAGUCGAAUACACAGGACCACCAAGAAGUCUAGUUCUCACUCUACUAUCCAAGUUUACUCAUGCACUUGGUUCAAAAGAGAUUUAAUGUGAAACAGAAUAGAUUUGUAAGCUUUGUUUUGUUUCACAGGAUUAAAGGAAUUAGCCGCCACUGUUCUGGAAAUGUCCUCCAGUAACGGUCGCACAUUUACAAUAUGCACGACAUAUGGUUCUGUUUCUUUAGGCAGGUCCACGAAUAAAUCCGAGAGCGAGUUUAUUUCGGUUUGGACAUUACUUUUAAGAUCAAAAGUACAUGCACAAUGCUGAAGUCUUUGCCUAAUUUUUGGAUUUGCUUUCUGUGUGCAUUUCACAAAGCUAUAUAAAGCUGUGGCUUUUUUUGUUGUUUUGUGUUUGUUUUUAAAUAAACAGUAAAAUCAAUGUUUAAAACAGUUUCCUUUUCCUGAUGCACAACAGUAAGCUUAUAAUAAUGGUUGAUAAUGGAUCAUUUUAGCCCAUGUAAGUAUCCCGCAAUUUUGUUUUAGGUUGAGAUGGUGAUAGAGGGGCAAAGAUCAUGGAUUGCAGCUAUAAAAAUAGACACAUCGUAAUGCAGUGUUGGUGAAGUACCACGCUUCUCCUCAGACCCGGUAGCUGAGCAAGAUGGAGUGCAACAAUUACUCGACAUCCUCUCGUUGACACCAGGUAGUCCUGACCAUGAAUAUUUGAAUAUGGCAACAACAGAGCUGAAGAAGGAACCGGGCGUGUUUUUCAGAACUACCGAGUUGAGCGGAAAUAUAAAGCAAAACUCUCAAGAGAUGCACUGGUCCUUCGUGAUGGUUAAAUGUAUUCAAUGUCAGCCACUGACAUGACUCUUGAAUUAUUAUCAGAAAUGUAAAAUGUCAUCGUCCCUCUAUCUAGAUAUCUAAUGUUAAUGUUAUCCUUAAAAGAAAAACAAAUAAAAAAACAGUACUCUCUAAGUUCACUAAUAUUCUUAUUAUAAAAAUGCAUUAUUGGAUGUACAUGUACAUCUCUUAAUCUAUAUCUACAAAACUAUAAAC